ACGGGGAGCAGCAGGCGCGAAACCUUUACACUGCACGCCAGUGUGAUAAGGGGACCCCGAGUGCGAGGGCAUACAGUCCUCGCUUUUCGUGACCGUAAGAAGGUCUCAGAAUAAGUGCUGGGCAAGACCGGUGCCAACCGCCGCGGUAAUACCGGCAGCACGAGUGAUAGCCACUAUUAUUGGGCCUAAAGCGUCCGUAGCCGGCUACACAGGUCCGUCGGGAAAUCCACCCGCUCAACGGGUGGGCGUCCGGCGGAAACCAGGUAGCUUGGGGCCGGAAGACCAGAGGGGUACGUCCGGGGUAGGAGUGAAAUCCUGUAAUCCUGGACGGACCACCCCUUGCGAAAGCGCCUCUGGAAGACGGACCCGACGGUGAGGGACGAAAGCUUGGGUCUCGAACCGGAUUAGAUACCCGGGUAGUCCAAGCUGUAAACGAUGCUCGCUAGGUGCGGCGCAGGCUACGAGCUUGCGCUGUGCCGUAGGGAAGCCGAGAAGCGAGCCGCCUGGGAAGUACGUCCGCAAGGAUGAAACUUAAAGGAAUUGGCGGGGGAGCAC
rnacentral:rRNA from 1 species